UAUUUUUGCCGCCUGAUUACCAUAGCGGUAGUCUGUACAUAAAAAUCAUUUAAAUAAAUAUUGGAAUG
ncrna:unclassified sequences S15-Flavobacteria ribosomal protein leader